CUACUCCUUCUGUUUCUCCCUCUUCUUUUCAUUUUGUUCCUCCUCUUGAGCAUUCCCUUUCUAAGCCAGAUUUCUCUAUUCCCAUUUGUUCCUCUCCAUCUUCACCUUCUGUUUUAGCUUCUCCUUCUUCCUGUCCAGUUUCCAGUCCUCCUUUCAACCCUGACAUCUCCCCUCCUGCUUUGCCUUCCCCCACAUCACCUACUGUUCCCAGGAAAUCUGGAAGACAUCACAAUCCUCCUUCUUAUCUUAAGGAUUAUGUC
rnacentral:lncRNA from 1 species